ACCCUGGGAUUUGGGACUGAUAAGAAAGGCACCAGAGCAACAGGGGAGGUUCUAUUUGGGUGGACAGCUAGUAUACUGAUCAACGUGGAUGGGAUGAAGUGUGAACUCCUUUUCAGAGAUAUCAGAAGAUGGGCAUAGUGACAUCUGUAAUUCUAACACUUGGGACAUAGUGACAGGAUAUCAGGAUCUACAAGCCAGCCUCUGAAACACAAGGUUUCUCUGCAUAGGAGAAGUUUGCCCUUAAACCUGAAUCAGAAAUUCAAUUUGGAGACAGCUAAGAACAUUGUAAUUUUGACAAUAUCAUGGCUUGAGGAACUGUGGUGUAAUCUGUUGUCUCUCACCUGACAAUCACGCUGAUCUUCGCGCGGAAGUGGAAGCUCAACGCUUUUGUGAAAACUCGAGUGGAAAAGUGUUUCUGUGUCACAAAUUCAAUGAGAUGUCAAGUCUGCACUCGACAAGUGAAAGUGAAAACGAGAGACUCAUGAGAAUGUAAAGAUUCAGGAGGCCAAGCGCUGAGCCUAGAAUGGAUUGCGCAGCAUACUGGUGCACAGCAGAGCAGGAUACGCAAAGCACUUUUUUCUUUUUUUUCUUGUUGGAGAAUCACUUACACGUAAUGUUCUUCAUCAAAACCACUUGCUCUGCUUCCUGUUCCAUUCCUUUUCUCUCCACCUCCUUCACGUUUCCCUUUCAACUUCUGGGAGAAAACUUUUUAAGCCUACCGGAUCCACUUAGUACUUCUAAAUAGGCUUAGGUCCAUCUGCUGGAGCAUGGGUGACCACGUGCUCUCGGGAAAACUGACUCUUGGAUCCCCAAUGCCACCGAUCAUGCAAGAACUACAACAGAAGACACUGCCCGAAUCCUACUAUGGAUGGUGGAAAGGCUUUUGAAGUUUCAUAUCUAAGUCAUUUUCAAUAUAACAGUGCAUAGCACAAUGACCUAAAUGUCCAACUGUGUGUAAAGGGUGAAUGAACAUAUGUAUUAUAUGUGUACAUGAAGAUGUAUGUAUGUAUGUAUGUAUGUAUGUAUGUAUGUUACUUCUAUGUAACCCUACUUGACUUAAUCUUAAUUCGUACGUGAAACUAUCUUCAAACGUUGAAGAUAUUAUGGCUCCUCCUAUUGCAAGGUAUGAGUGUUGGAUAACACAGGUCUAAAGAUGCAUGCCACCACACCUGACUUUUAAAUAUUACUAUUAGGUGAACAUGCAAAAAAAUAAUCUUCAGAGGUUAUAUAAAAUGUUUAAAGGCUGUUUAACUGCAGACAAGAACUUGGAAGAGUCUUAUAGAAAAGAACCCUACACAAGUGGAACAAUGUGUUACAUUAGACGAAUAGAAAUUCAUUUUAAAGAUGAUUAUCAAAACGAAAAGAAUCACAUGAUUAUGUAAAGCUGGAUAUUGAUAUCCUCAUUAAAAUCUGCUGUUCGCA